rnacentral:lncRNA from 1 species
UGUGUAUAAUGUAUAAAGGGGAGAUAAUUAAUCCGAAUUAUUUCACAGAGGGUGAACAAUAAAAAAUUGUUUUAUACUGUCAGGUUUGAGGUAAUGGUAGGUUAUACUUUGUGUAUAAUGUAUUAAGGGGAGAUAAUCAAUCCAAAUGACUUCAUAAGGGGUGAACAAUAAAGAUUUGUUUUAUACUGUCAGGUUUGAGGUAAGUAGGUUAUACUUUGUGUAUAAUGUAUUAAGGGGAGAUAAUUAAUCCAAAUGACUUCAUAGGGGGUGAACAAUAAAGAUUUGUUUUAUACUGUCAGGUUUGAGGUAAUGGUAGGUUAUACUUUGUGUAUAAUGUAUUAAGAGGAGAUAAUCAAUCCAAAUGACUUCAUAGGGGGUGAACAAUAAAGAUUGGUUUUUACUGUCAGGUUUGAGGUAAUGGUAGGUAUACUUUGUGUAUAAUGUAUUAAGGGGAGAUAAUCAAUCCAAAUGACUUCAUAGGGGAUGAACAAUAAAGAUUUUUUUAUACUGUCAUGUGAGGUAAUGGUAGGUUAUACUUUGUGUAUAAUGUAUUUAGGGGAGAUAAUCAAUCCAAAUGACUUCAUAGGGGUGAACAAUAAAGAUUUGUUUUAUACUGUCAGGUUUGAGGUAAUGGUAGGUUAUACUUUGUGUAUAAUGUAUUAAGGGGGUAUAAUCAAUCCAAAUGACUUUUUAGGUGGUGAACAAAUAGAUUUGUUUGAUACUGUCAGGUUUGAGGUAACUUGGUAGAUAUAUACUUUGUGUAUAAUGUAUUAAGGGGAGAUAAUCAAUCCAAAUGACUUCAUAGGGGGUAACAAUAAAGAUUUGUUUUAUACUGUCAGGUUUGAGGUAAUGGUAGGUUAUACUUUGUGUAUAAUGUAUUCAAGGAGAUAAUCAAUCCAAAUGACUUCAUAGGGGGUAAGCAAAAAGAUUUGUUUAAUACUGUAAUGUUUGAGGUAAUGGUAGGUUAUACUUUGUGUAUAAUGUAUUCAGGGAGAUAAUUAAUCCAAAUGACUUCAUAGGGGGUGAACAAUAAAGAUUUGUUUGAUACUGUAAUGUUUGAGGUAACGGUAAGUUAUCCUUUGUGUAUAAUUUAUUAAGGGUAGAUAAUCAAUCGAAAUGACGUCAUAGGUGGUGAACGAUAAAGAUUUGUUUGAUACUGUCAGGUUUGAGGUAACGGUAGGUUAUACUUUGUUUAUAAUGUAUUAAGGGGAGAUAAUCAAUCCAAAUGACUUCAUAGGGGGUGAACAAUAAAGAUUUGUUUUAUACUGUCAGGUUUGAGGUAACGGUAGGUUAUACUUUGUGUAUAAUGUAUUAAGUGGAGAUAAUCAAUCCAAUUGACUUCAUGGGGGUGAACAAAAAGAUUUGUUUUAUACUGUAAUGUUUGAGGUAAUGGUAGGUUAUACUUUGUGUUUACUGUAUAAAGGGGAGAUAAUCAAUCCAAAUGACUUCAUAGGGGUUGAACAAUAAAGAUUUGUUUUAUACUGUCAGGUUUGAGGUAAUGGUAGGUUAUACUUUGUGUAUAUUGUAUAAAGGGGAGAUAAUCAAUCCAAAUGACUUCAUAGGGGGUAACAAUAAAGAUUUGUUUUAUACUGUCAGGUUUGAGGUAACGGUUGGUAUAUAUACUUUGUGUAUAAUGUAUUAAGGGGAGAUAAUCAUUCAAUAUGACUUAAUAGGGGUGAACAAUAAAGAUUUGUUUAAUACUGUCAGGUUUGAGGUAACGGCAGGUUAUAUAUUCUUUGUGUAUAAUGUAUUCAGGGGAGAUAAUCAUUCAAAAUGACUUAAUAGGUGUGAACAAUAAAGAUUUGUUUUAUACUGUCAGGUUUGAGGUAACGGUAGGUUAUACUUUGUGUAUAAUGUAUUAAGGGGAGAUAAUCAAUCCAAAUGACUUCAUAGGAGG